ACGGGAGGCAGCAGUGGGGAAUAUUGCACAAUGGGGGAAACCCUGAUGCAGCGACGCCGCGUGAGCGAAGAAGUAUUUCGGUAUGUAAAGCUCUAUCAGCAGGGAAGAAAAUGACGGUACCUGACUAAGAAGCUCCGGCUAAAUACGUGCCAGCAGCCGCGGUAAUACGUAUGGAGCAAGCGUUAUCCGGAUUUACUGGGUGUAAAGGGAGCGUAGACGGAACAGCAAGUCUGAUGUGAAAGGCAGGGGCUCAACUCCUGGACUGCAUUGGAAACUGUUGAUCUUGAGUGUCGGAGAGGUAAGCGGAAUUCCUAGUGUAGCGGUGAAAUGCGUAGAUAUUAGGAGGAACACCAGUGGCGAAGGCGGCUUGCUGGACGAUAACUGACGUUGAGGCUCGAAAGCGUGGGGAGCAAACAGGAUUAGAUACCCUGGUA
rnacentral:rRNA from 1 species